AUUGAACGCUGGCGGCAGGCCUAACACAUGCAAGUCGAGCGAGCGGCGGACGGGUGAGUAAUGUCUGGGAAACUGCCUGAUGGCGGGGGAUAACUACUGGAAACGGUAGCUAAUACCGCAUACCAUCAGAUGUGCCCAGAUGGGAUUAGCUAGUAGGUGGGGUACCGGCUCACCUAGGCCACGAUCCCUAGCUGGUCUGAGAGGAUGCACAGCCACAAGGGAAAUUAGACACGGUCCAGACCCCGAAGGGAGGCAGCAGUGGGGAAUAUUGCACAAUGGGCGCAAGCCUGAUGCAGCCAUGUCGGGUGUAUGAAGAAGGCCUUCGGGUUGUAAAGUUAUUGCAGCGGGGAGGCGUUACCCGCAGAAGAAGCACCGGCUAACUCCGGGCCAGCAGCCGCGGUAAUUC
rnacentral:rRNA from 1 species